CCUACGAGGGGCAGCAGUGAGGAAUAUUGGUCAAUGGGCGCAAGCCUGAACCAGCCAAGUCGCGUGAGGGAUGACGGUCCUAUGGAUUGUAAACCUCUUUUGUCGGGGAGCAAGGCCCGCCACGUGUGGCGGGAAGGAGAGUACCCGAAGAAAAAGCAUCGGCUAACUCCGUGCCAGCAGCCGCGGUAAUACGGAGGAUGCGAGCGUUAUCCGGAUUGAUUGGGUUUAAAGGGUGCGUAGGCGGAAGGUUAAGUCAGCGGUCAAAUGUCGGUGCUCAACACCGGCCUGCCGUUGAAACUGGUCUUCUUGAGUGAGCGAGAAGUAUGCGGAAUGCGUGGUGUAGCGGUGAAAUGCAUAGAUAUCACGCAGAACUCCGAUUGCGAAGGCAGCAUACCGGCGCUCAACUGACGCUGAGGCACGAAAGCGUGGGGAUCGAACAGGAUUAGAUACCCCUGUAGUC
rnacentral:rRNA from 1 species